GAUGAACGCUAGCGGCAGGCUUAACACAUGCCAGUCGAGGGGUAUUUAUCUUCGGAUAGAGAGACCGGCGCACGGGUGCGUAACGCGUAUGCAAUCUACCUUUUACAGAGGGAUAGCCCAGAGAAAUUUGGAUUAAUACCUCAUAGUAUAUAGACUCGGCAUCGAGAUUAUAUUAAAGUCACAACGGUAAAAGAUGAGCAUGCGUCCCAUUAGCUAGUUGGUAAGGUAACGGCUUACCAAGGCUACGAUGGGUAGGGGUCCUGAGAGGGAGAUCCCCCACACUGGUACUGAGACACGGACCAGACUCCUACGGGAGGCAGCAGUGAGGAAUAUUGGACAAUGGGCGCAAGCCUGAUCCAGCCAUGCCGCGUGCAGGAGGACGGUCCUAUGGAUGGUAAACUGCUUUUAUACGAGAAGAAACACUGCUACGUGUAGCAGCUUGACGGUAUCGUAAGAAUAAGGAUCGGCUAACUCCGUG
rnacentral:rRNA from 1 species